rnacentral:rRNA from 1 species
AUUGAACGCUGGCGGAAUGCUUUACACAUGCAAGUCGAACGGCAGCAUGGGUGCUUGCACCUGAUGGCGAGUGGCGAACGGGUGAGUAAUGCAUCGGAACGUGCCCUGAAGUGGGGGAUAACGUAGCGAAAGUUACGCUAAUACCGCAUAUUCUGUGAGCAGGAAAGAGGGGGAUCGCAAGACCUCUUGCUUUAGGAGCGGCCGAUGUCGGAUUAGCUAGUUGGUGGGGUAAAGGCCUACCAAGGCGACGAUCCGUAGCGGGUCAGAGAGGAUGAUCCGCCACACUGGGACUGAGACACGGCCCAGACUCCUACGGGAGGCAGCAGUGGGGAAUUUUGGACAAUGGGCGCAAGCCUGAUCCAGCCAUGCCGCGUGAGUGAAGAAGGCCUUCGGGUUGUAAAGCUCUUUCGGUGGGGAAGAAAUUGCUUCGGCUAAUAUCCGGAGUAGAUGACGGUACCCGCAUAAGAAGCACCGGCUAACUACGUGCCAGCCGCCGCUGUAA